GGAAUCGCUCUCUUCCUCUCAGCCUCAAGUGCCACUUUCCUUACUGGUCGAGAGGGCUCCCCAGACACUGUGCUGCAGUCUGAUCUGCCUCGGUGCCCUGCCCGGACAGCGUGGAAGGCGCUGCUCGUGUUCCCGUGGUCUGCCUCGGUGCCCUGCUCUCCCUUUUCUCUCUGGAACAAAGUCAUUUGUGCUUUGCGGUGGCAUUCUCAGCUGUGAAAAGUCUGAUUUAAAUGAUUUGGCAAAUGAGUGGUUCUCCAUUCACACCGCCGUUCUGCCUCCUUGGUGGUGGGCGUGGGCUGCGGCUCACACCGGCAGCAGCAGGAACAAUGGACUUCACCUGUCCACGCGCCCAGCGCCAUUCCCAGUCCUGAGACCUGUGAAACCCACUGGACAAGAUGCAGCUCUCGUUCUCAGAGACAAAGGGCCCUGGAGCCUGCAGGAGGUGGGGGGUGUGGCUGGGAGGCAGCUGUGAGUUGCCAGCGUCCCGCACGCUGUGCCCUCCUGCAGCCCUUGCCCGGCACGGUGGGAAGUGACUCCAGCAACCACUCCAGAGUCCAAGCCUAGAGCUCAGAGGUGGCAGGAGAGGCUUCUCGGCCGAGUCGGACGGGGAAGCCUGUGGCUGCCGAGAUCACAGCCGCGGUGUCAUCCCAAACCAGGGCCGGUGCUGUGGCUUUCACCCUGGAUGUGACUUGCCAUCUUGGCUAAUCUGAGCCGAGGGAGGGACGACGAUUUCUCAUCCCUUAGUCUGAAUCUUGUGCAAUGUCAUCAUGAACUUCUCCCUGCACUUUAUAUAUAAAUAUGUAGCUCAGUAACAGUGCACCUUGUUCCACAGACACUUCCGAAGGACCUUCUAUCCCACACAGCGACCCUCGCUGCAGAAACUGUCGGAUGCCAGCGUGUGAUGUGUGCUUUCCCGGAGGAGAGGAGACAUGGGGUCUGCGUCUCCCUGGGUGCGAAUUUGGACACGAUGCAGGCAGGGAGGGCCCCCCAUCCCUCAAACCCGCCAUUAAUUCCCCUGCUUUUCCUGAGUCAUGGAUUUGAAAUGCCUUUGUCUAGAUCACAUCAGAUCUUAGAGGUGGUGAACUGCGGGCAUUUGUCUUGGGGAUAGUGGGUGCUACUCCUCCAGGGACCACGAGCAGCUCCCCAUCCUGCCUUCUGGGGACUGAUGAAAAUGCUCCCACUCCACACCUCCUGUGGUCCGGGCAGCCCAGGGAGUGAGAUGCUGGAGCCGGGUCAGGAGCUGGGCGAGGUGCUGGAGCCGGGUCAGGCGCUGGAGCAGAGCCAGACUACUUUUUCAGAGCAGUUUUACAGUCACAGAAACAUGGAGAAGAAGGUCCAGAGAGUUUCCAUAUGCCUCCUGCCCCCACACAGGCACAGCCUCCCCCACCACCAACCUCCCAGGCUGGAGACGUGCAUUUGUGCCGGGCGAUGAACCCGCACGGACGCAUCCGAUGGUCCGGAUCCCGGAGCUCACUACGGGGCUCCCUCCUGGGGCCACUCACUCCGUGGGUUUGGACAAACGUGUGAUCGCAGGCAUCUGCCCUGUGGUGUCCCCCGGAGCAGUUUCACUGCUAAACAUCCUCUGUGCUCUGCCUGUUUGUCCUUCUCUCCCGAAGCCCCUGGCUACCUGUCAUCGUUCUACUGUCUCCGUAGUUUUGCCUAGAAUGUCAUCUAGUUGGACUCACGCGCGCUGAGUGACACUCCGCUGCCUGGAAGUGCCCAGUUUAUCCAUUCACCGACUGAAGGGUAUCUUGAUCGCAUCCCCGUUGGGCCAGUGAGAGGAAAGCUGUGUGAACCUCUGAGUGCAGGUUUCCGUGUGGACGAAGGAGUUCAGCUCUUUUGGGCAGGUACCAAGGGUUCUUAGGACAAUGGGAAGAGCCUGUGUGAGUGUGGGAAAGGCAGCUGCAGGUCCCGUGCUGAGAAGGUCCCUCGCCUAGAAGCCAGUGCCUCUGGUCUGGUUCAGGCCCUGUCUGCACAGUGAGUCCAGCUGGCAUCCAUAGGAAGAAAGGGUGUUCCCCGGGCGUGCUCCAGAAGCAGCUACACAUCUGUCGGGCUGCAGCAGAGGCUGCAUCUCAGCGUGUUCCCUGGAUGCCCCUGACCCUGUGACGGCUCAGAAACAGCAGCUGUGGGCAAACCACGGUGACGGCCAUGUGGGCCCAGCUCCCUCCUGCUGCUCUGGCCAGAGCCCGUUGCCGUGGUGGCAGAGGCAUCUCUGGAUUUCCUGCUGCAGCAGGACAGAGUCCACAUCAGGACUUGAAUGUUCCCUGCAGCACAAGGAGGCGAGAGAGAGUUCGGGAAACUGAGGCAGGAGAGGCUGAAGUUGCCAGAGGUCACGCGCUAAGGAGCUGCAGAGCCAGCUUUGCGUCCCUCCCCUGUGGGGCCCCAGGAGGGCUGUGAGGCUGGGGAACCCACUGCGGGGUCCGGAGCUCCAGGAUCUGGUGCUGAGGCCCUGGGAGGAAGAGGGAACCUACGGACUGCUCGUGGCUCCCCUACUCCCGGGGAAAUGCAGGGAAACUGAAGCCUGGGCUGUCCCCUCUCCCAGCUGGCAGAGGGCCCUCAGCUGCACGCUGGGCCUGGCCGGAGUCCCGCCGAGCAGAGCGGAAAGUGAGCCGGUACCAGUGCUCGUGGCAGGGACCUAUGGAGAAGCGCACCUGCUCCCCUGGCUUCGGUGUGGCCGCACUCACGGUGUCGGGAGGACGUGGACGUGCUGUACUGCACCUUUAAAGGAAAGUGCUACGGCUCCGCACGCCUUCCCCCCACCACCCAGUGCCAUGGCUCCGCACGCCUUCCCACCACCCAGUGCCAUGGCUCCGCACGCCUUCCCCCCACCACCCAGUGCCAUGGCUCCACACGCCUUCCCCCACUCCAGUGCCACGGCUCUACAUGCCUUUUCCCCCCCAGUGCCACGGCUCCACAAGCCUUUUCCCAUCCUACAAUUGUCAUGUAUUUUUCAUGAAAUGAGUUAUUUGAAAGAAACUAAUAUUGUCCAAAAUAUAGAACUUCUUUUGGAAGUUUUGAAGAAUCUUGGACUCCAAGGGGCUCCUCUUUUGAAAGCUGUUCCCUUCUCUGACCACAGGGGCUGGGAGGGGCGUGCUAGGCCUGCACGGAGCCUGGGCGGGGUGUAGGAGGACCUGGAGGAGUGCUGGAGCCAGGCAAGCUGGGCUGCUACCAGGAACCCGAACCCCUCCAGACACCCCGGGAGAGGUGACCCACCUGCCCCUGUGCGCAAGUCACUGAAAGUUUUGGAGCCUGGUUUUCUUACCUGAGAAAUGGGGCUGAUGAUCGUCCUGACUGAUCGAUUGGACCACCCGGUACACCACUGGCCUCUCCGAUCCACAAGCUUCGAAAGCAUUUUCAUAUCAGGAUCCUGCAGAUGUGGUCAAGACAAGCACUGGGCUGGGCGGGGCCCAAGUCCAGGAACAGGCAUCCUCCUAAGAGGAAAGAGACCAACACGGUGCCAUGGGAGGCAGGCGAGGUUGGAGCAACGGCACAAGCCAGGGAAGCUGAGAGCAGCAGAUGCUGGGACAGGUGGCUAGGAGCCACCGGUGCACCCGGGGAGCACGCCCUUGCGAGGUGAUGAAAAACCUGCUGAAAUAGCACAGAGCAGCCCCUCCCGCGGUGGUUCAUAGCAUUCAUCCCCUGAGAGCCCACACAGGCCACACCACCGGCCCACAGAGGGGAAGCUGAGGCAGGAGCCUAAUGACUCGCCCCAGGCCUCAAAACGAUGUGCACUGGGGCUGUUUCCACUAUUAAGUCAACAAUCUCUGCAGUUUCUGCUUAAUGGUCUCAAUUAAGGUUCUCUUAAUAAAGAACAUUUGUGGAGAAGAUGGGUGGGGCUGACACAGUUCUGCGGUCCACAAUGCCUCUGAAUCCCAGUGAAAACAGGCUAGAGCCUUCUCAGCUCCCAAGGCACAACCAAAAUACAGACAGACAGGAGCGCC
rnacentral:lncRNA from 10 species